rnacentral:rRNA from 1 species
AUUGAACGCUGGCGGCAUGCCUUACACAUGCAAGUCGAACGGCAGCACGGGAGCAAUACCUGAGAGUGGCGAACGGGUGAGUAAUGUAUCGGAACGUGCCCAAGAGUGGGGGAUAGCCCGGCGAAAGCCGGAUUAAUACCGCAUACGAGCUAUGGAUGAAAACGGGGGACCGCAAGGCCUCGUGCUCCUGGAGCGGCCGAUAUCAGAUUAGGUAGUUGGUGGGGUAAAGGCUCACCAAGCCAACGAUCUGUAGCUGGUUUGAGAGAACGACCAGCCACACUGGGACUGAGACACGGCCCAGACUCCUACGGGAGGCAGCAGUGGGGAAUUUUGGACAAUGGGCGCAAGCCUGAUCCAGCAAUGCCGCGUGCAGGAUGAAGGCCUUCGGGUUGUAAACUGCUUUUGUACGGAGCGAAAAGGCUUCUUCUAAUACAGGAGGCUCAUGACGGUACCGUAAGAAUAAGCACCGGCUAACUACGUGCCAGCAGCCGCAGUAACAC